rnacentral:rRNA from 1 species
GAUGAACGCUAGCGGCAGGCUUAAUACAUGCAAGUCGUGGGGCAGCAUGACUGUAGCAAUACAGUUGAUGGCGACCGGCAAACGGGUGCGGAACACGUACACAACCUUCCUUUUAGUGGAGAAUAGCCCAGGGAAACUUGGAUUAAUACUCCGUAACAUAUAGAAGUGGCAUCACUUUUAUAUUAUAGCAGCAAUGCGCUAGAAGAUGGGUGUGCGGCUGAUUAGAUAGUUGGCGGGGUAACGGCCCACCAAGUCGACGAUCAGUAACUGGUGUGAGAGCACGACCAGUCACACGGGCACUGAGACACGGGCCCGACUCCUACGGGAGGCAGCAGUAAGGAAUAUUGGUCAAUGGACGCAAGUCUGAACCAGCCAUGCCGCGUGGAGGAUGAAGGUCCUCUGGAUUGUAAACUUCUUUUAUUUGGGAAGAAACCCAUCUUUUCUAAGAUGGUUGACGGUACCAGAUGAAUAAGCACCGGCUAACUCCGUGC